rnacentral:rRNA from 2 species
AAUACAUGCAAGUCGAACGAGUUCUGAUUAUUGAAAGGUGCUUGCAUCUUGAUUUAAUUUUGAACGAGUGGCGGACGGGUGAGUAACACGUGGGUAACCUGCCCUUAAGUGGGGGAUAACAUUUGGAAACAGAUGCUAAUACCGCAUAAAUCCCAAGAACCGCAUGGGUUCUUGGCUGAAAGAUGGCGUAAGCUAUCGCUUUUGGAUGGACCCGCGGCGUAUUAGCUAGUUGGUGAGGUAACGGCUCACCAAGGCAAUGAUACGUAGCCGAACUGAGAGGUUGAUCGGCCACAUUGGGACUGAGACACGGCCCAAACUCCUACGGGAGGCAGCAGUAGGGAAUCUUCCACAAUGGACGCAAGUCUGAUGGAGCAACGCCGCGUGAGUGAAGAAGGCUUUCGGGUCGUAAAACUCUGUUGUUGGAGAAGAAUGGUCGGCAGAGUAACUGUUGUCGGCGUGACGGUAUCCAACCAG